GGUGACCUCGGAUCAGGUAGGAUACCCGCGACA
rnacentral:rRNA from 1 species